AUACAAGGGACGAUCGCAAGUAGAAGGUGAACGAACGAUUACAGUCAGGAAGGGGGCACACGAAGCCAGCGACGAUGCUUCCGAUUCGUUGCUCGUCGCAGGCCACGAAGAGGGCCGAGGAACUUCUGUCGACAGAAGAAGAAGAUGGGAAUAAUCAGUAGGGCUACGCUCCCUUCUCGUCCGGCUCCGAGGUGCAAGGGUUGUGGAUCGGUCUCGGGCGGAGGGUGCGUCUCCGAGGUUGACGAGGCCGAUAGCAAGGAGCGAGAGGGAGGAUAGAAGAGGUUUCGUUGGUCUCGUUGGGUGCAGCGAUGGAGUGGAAUGCGAGGCCAAAAAAGGGGUCCGGAAGAGGCAUGUCAAGCAGCGCCUCCAGCUUCUGCUGAGGUCUCCGCAGCAGUCCUCGACAUGCGACGGAUGUUUUGCUCCGGUAAGAGUGGAAAUGAAUGGGUGUUUGGGUUGGUGCUGCUGCUUCGAUGGUUUACCAGAGCACCACCCGUACUUGGCUGAUCGAAGGAGGUAGAAAGCAGUGAUUUGGGGGUGUUUGGUUUGUUUCAUUUGAAAGGGAAUAGAACGAGGGAUGUUGCGAGGAUUAAACUCCAUGACAAUAUGACAUAACUCUAAGAUUAUAAGAGUAUGGCUGGAUGAUUAUUUGAAGAAGAGAAAGGAUGUGAGGGGGCUGUUCACUGACAGCUUCAAUUGAGAAGAACACUCUUCCUUUGUGUAUGGUUUUGUAUAAAAAUAUUUUUUUUGUAUGGUUUUGUAUAAAAAGAUGUUUACUUUGUGUGUAAACUUGGUGUGUUAUCAUUAAUAGCUGUCAAUUUGUGUAUGUAUGAAUCCUUGAAGGAUUUUUGGAGAGUACAAACUCUAUUGCCUUAUGUGUGUAUUGUGUGGGUUAUUUGGGUGU